AAAAUUAGAGUGUUCAAAGCAGGCAGAUUCAAUUUUCUGCCACCGAAUACAUUAGCAUGGGAUAAUGGAAUAGGACCCUGUCCUCCUAUUUUCAGUUGGUUUUGGCAGCGCGAGGACUAGGGUAAUGAUUAAUAGGGAUAGUUGGGGGCAUUAAUAUUUAAUUGUCAGAGGUGAAAUUCUUGGAUUUAUGAAAGAUUAACUUCUGCGAAAGCAUCUGCCAAGGAUGUUUUCAUUAAUCAAGAACGAAAGUUAGGGGAUCGAAGACGAUCAGAUACCGUCGUAGUCUUAACCAUAAACGAUGCCGACCAGCGAUUAGGAGACGUUGAAUACAAAACACCACCAUCGGCGCGGUCGUCCUUGGCGCGUUCGUGUUCACGCACGGGCGCGCGAGGGCGGCUUAGCCCGGUGGCACCGGUGAA
rnacentral:rRNA from 1 species